GGGAGUACUUGCAACGAGUGAAGGCAAACGAUGAUUACAGCCGUCAAGUGAUGGCGGCUAUGUUGGCGUCUUGGACUAACCGCACGGAGCCACCACAAGUUGGACCCCCACCACCACCUGCGGGAGACGCCCCACACAUUCCCACGUUCGAGGAAUGGCUGGCACUAGGCGGUGAUACUCCGGGGACCGGUGGCUCGACUCCUGCU